rfam:Phlebotomus papatasi Contig39832.1, whole genome shotgun sequence.
ACCGAGAGUCUGGCAGCUCUUGUAAUCCGUGCUACUCGGAGGUUGGAUUAUGGAUUGAUUUGAGGUCGGGGGUUCUGUGUACUGGACGGGUCAUGUUGACGGGACGUCCGCACUAAGCUCGCCAUCAAUAUGGGCGCCAUGGCGGAGGCCGAGGCGUUCAGGUUGGCUAAGGAGGGGCGCACCGGGCCAGAGGUGAAAACCAGCAGCCAAAAGUCCCCGUGGUCAGCAGUAGUGGGAUCGCGUCCCGGAGUGAGCUCCCAGUAUCAGCCCGAUCAAUAGAAUCAUACCAUAAUCUUU